AGGGGUAUGGCUCAGUGGUGAAGCACAUGCUUGGCAUGCACAAGGUUCUGGGUCCAAUCCCUGGUACCUCCA
rfam:Camelus ferus unplaced genomic scaffold scaffold1394, whole genome shotgun sequence.